AAGUGCAGAAAACCUCACAGAGAUGGUUGGCCUUGAGAUCUUUCCAGUUCAGCAGGAGCAGUGAGGAUGGCACAGAAUUCAGUAGCAGUUCUGCUCUUGAGCUAACUGGAUAUCGUAUUCAGCAUUACGCACUUGGAGAGCUCUGACAGCCCACAGAUGAAGGAGCACCUACAUUAGCAGCACCAGAUCCAAUUGUGUCUGGAAAAUUCAGGUUUGGUUGUCAGCUACUGAGCCCAGGCCAGAUCUCAUGCGUGGAAAUGCAAUCAUUCUCUCCAGUGCUUUCACACCUGCCUGCUUCCAGUUUUGUGCCCAAGCAGAGCCCUUCCCUUGAAAGACAGCCAGACCUCCUCUGCUACAUCUUUGUGGGCAUAUCCUCAUCUCUUCUACCCAAAGACUGAGUCCUUUACCCCUGCAAGCAGCAAUACCCUGACAAGAGCAGUGGCAUGGAAGAUCCCUGUUCUUCCACUAAUUAAUGGGGGCAGGCAGGGUACCAGGGCAGACCCUCAGACACUCCAGUUGCCCAGGUCUGCCUCUCCCUUCUGGAACUGCAGACACGUUGCAGACAGGAGCAGCUCAGGGUGCAAGCUGCUGUCCUUUACCAAACACACUGCACGGUGCGUGGUCUAUGAGUGAUCACAAAUAUCCCUUUGGAUUUAAGCUGGGAAUCCCUGAAUCUGCACCUUGUCCUGCUGUUACUCUUCUGAAUUUUUCCUCCCACUCUCCGAACACAAGGCUAUCUUUCUUUCCUAGAUCUUGACUAAUUCAUUUAUUCAGCCACUUAUUCUGCACACUGGAUUUUCUCCAUCUUUCUCUUCUCAAUUCCUUAUCCUCUUGAUUAUUCCCUUCUCCCUGUUCUUUCUUUAUCUUCUUAUUUCCCUUUCUCCUCCUUUCUUCCAAUGCUGCUGUUUUUCCCCCCUCCCUCCUUCCUCCCCUCUUUUUCAUUUUUAUCAUUCCAUUCAUAUCCUAUUCAUUUCCUUCCUCAUCCAAUAUUUUCAAGGAGGUAUCCAAUCUUCUCAUUUCAGAUUAAUCAACACUCCCCUUGUUUUCUUUGCAUUCUGCUCUCUGCUUUCCCUUGUUUUCUCUCCCUGCCCCUCUCUCAGAGGACCUUGGCCUCCCCUGUCCCCAGCUGGAGCCCAGGUCCCACCAGCAGCCCUCACUCCAGCAGAGGGCAAUAGUGGAUUUUCAUGGGCUCCUUGCUGACAGGAGAAGGGGGACAGAGCCCACUCUGAGCAAUCUCAUUUCCUUGGGGGUCUCAGCAGCCAAGGUGGAUGGGAAACACAGGAGUUACUCAUCUGCCUGCCACCUACCUCAUCCAGGAGCCCAGCCACCUGAGCACCCUUUGCUCUACCUCCCAAAGGCUCACAGUUCCUCACAGUCGCUGACAGCUCACGUCUCUCUCUCAAUUUAAAUUCAGACGUAAUCAUCUCUGACCAGAGCAUUCGCCUGUGGGCUUGGAAACUCCAUUUUGUCAACAUGCAGAAGCCUUUCUGCUUUUAUUUUUUUAUUUGCUUUUGCAUUUGCUGGCUUAAUGCAAGUUUCCAUCAAAGCAAUGAAACCAGCACAGCUAUGGUCUCCUUUGUCCUCUCUCUAGCCAUUAAACCACUGGCAGGAGCAGUUUAUAUUUUCAUAUGCCUAAUUACUACCUAUCUUCUCAGUUGAAUAGCUCAUAUUCUUCUCUUUUCAGAAGAGGCCAGGAAUUCAGUUUAAUAAAUAUACAUUGCCAGAACCACUGAACCUCACUGGCAGGGUAGGCAGGAGGACGUGUAAGGAUGGAUAUGUAACACGUGGCUUCACCCAAAGACCAUCCUUCCUCCUCUGAUGGUAACAUCUGGGGGGCUACCCUAGCACCGACUCCUUGCAGCGAAAUAAGUCUGGCACAGCAGCAUCUUUUCCUUAACAAAAGAAACAGGUUCACAGUAUCCUAGAGGGUACAGAUUGAAAAGGCCUUAAAAAAGUGUGUUAUCUCUUUGUUCUCCACCACCAUGGAAUCAGUAAUGUCUAAUAUAUAGUGUGGAUUUCAUAUUGAGCUAAUUUCAGCUGACUAGCAGGUAAGUAUCUAGUCCUAGUGAGACAGCUAGAUCCCCAUCUUGUAAACAGAGAGAUAAUGUUAUUAUACAGUAGAGGGUUAAAAAGAAAAACAAGUUAUUUAUUGUUAUUAUUAUAAUCAUCAUCAUCAUUAUCAUUAUUAUCAUUAUUAAUAAACACCAAAAAGGUAUGACAGGUGACUUUGACCUCCUGAUGACUUUCUCCAAAAAGUUUGACAAACCUAAAAGUGCAAUACAGAUCUGAAAAUGAACUCAGUACAAAAACUUUGCAAGUGAAAUGUGGAAGAAAGGGAGAGAUGGAGAUAUUGUAUGUCUGAGAAAGGAGAGAAUGGGGAGGAGAAAACAAAUUGAAAAGGCAAUAAUCUAGAGCUCCCAUGAGUCCCACUUCUCAAGUCUGGCCAGCAGCCAGUAUAACAGCUAUAUAUUAUGGCAAGUGGUGUUUGUUUCCUGACCUGUGUUUUUAACACAAAAUAAAACAGUCUCAAGAACUGGGAUGAUGAUUGCCCACUUUGUAAAACCAGUAGCUCACUUCCUGACAAGGUUUUCAAAGGUGAACACCAGCACAGAGGACAGUGCAUGCUAGGGACAACCUGGGAGCAGCUGCGGGCCAUGCCACAGAUAUAAUGCCACACCUGAAGCAUCUGAACUCUAUCUAGGAGUGAGUAUCUGCCUAUCUUCAAGCAAACUGUGUGUCUGCUCCUGUAUGAACCCAAGAACUUUCUAAAGGUCGAGCUAAGGAGAGGAGAGAAAAAAAAUAAAAAAAUAAAAAAAUAAAAAAAAAAAGAA